rnacentral:rRNA from 1 species
UGGCUAGUACGCACGAGCGCAACCCUUAUCCUUUGUUGCCAGCACGUAAUGGUGGGAACUCAAAGGAGACUGCCGGUGAUAAACCGGAGGAAGGUGGGGAUGACGUCAAGUCAUCAUGGCCCUUACGAGUAGGGCUACACACGUGCUACAAUGGCAGAUACAAAGAGAAGCGACCUCGCGAGAGCAAGCGGAACUCAUAAAGUCUGUCGUAGUCCGGAUUGGAGUCUGCAACUCGACUCCAUGAAGUCGGAAUCGCUAGUAAUCGUAGAUCAGAAUGCUACGGUGAAUACGUUCCCGGGCCUUGUACACACCGCCCGU